rnacentral:rRNA from 1 species
GACGAACGCUGGCGGCGUACUUAACACAUGCAAGUCGAACGGAAAGGCCCUGCUUUUGUGGGGUGCUCGAGUGGCGAACGGGUGAGUAACACGUGAGUAACCUGCCCUUGACUUUGGGAUAACUUCAGGAAACUGGGGCUAAUACCGGAUAGGAGCUCCUGCUGCAUGGUGGGGGUUGGAAAGUUUCGGCGGUUGGGGAUGGACUCGCGGCUUAUCAGCUUGUUGGUGGGGUAGUGGCUUACCAAGGCUUUGACGGGUAGCCGGCCUGAGAGGGUGACCGGCCACAUUGGGACUGAGAUACGGCCCAGACUCCUACGGGAGGCAGCAGUGGGGAAUAUUGCACAAUGGGCGGAAGCCUGAUGCAGCAACGCCGCGUGCGGGAUGACGGCCUUCGGGUUGUAAACCGCUUUCGCCUGUGACGAAGCGUGAGUGACGGUAAUGGGUAAAGAAGCACCGGCUAACUACGUGCCAGCAGCCGCGGUGAUACGUAGGGUGCGAGCGUUGUCCGGAUUUAUUGGGCGUAAAGGGCUCGUAGGUGGUUGAUCGCGUCGGAAGUGUAAUCUUGGGGCUUAACCCUGAGCGUGCUUUCGAUACGGGUUGACUUGAGGAAGGUAGGGGAGAAUGGAAUUCCUGGUGGAGCGGUGGAAUGCGCAGAUAUCAGGAGGAACACCAGUGGCGAAGGCGGUUCUCUGGGCCUUUCCUGACGCUGAGGAGCGAAAGCGUGGGGAGCGAACAGGCUUAGAUACCCUGGUAGUCCACGCUGUAAACGGUGGGUACUAGGUGUGGGGUCCAUUCCACGGGUUCCGUGCCGUAGCUAACGCUUUAAGUACCCCGCCUGGGGAGUACGGCCGCAAGGCUAAAACUCAAAGGAAUUGACGGGGCCCCGCACAAGCGGCGGAGCAUGCGGAUUAAUUCGAUGCAACGCGUAGAACCUUACCUGGGUUUGACAUGGAUCGGGAGUGCUCAGAGAUGGGUGUGCCUCUUUUGGGGUCGGUUCACAGGUGGUGCAUGGCUGUCGUCAGCUCGUGUCGUGAGAUGUUGGGUUAAGUCCCGCAACGAGCGCAACCCUUGUUCACUGUUGCCAGCACGUUAUGGUGGGGACUCAGUGGAGACCGCCGGGGUCAACUCGGAGGAAGGUGGGGAUGACGUCAAGUCAUCAUGCCCCUUAUGUCCAGGGCUUCACGCAUGCUACAAUGGCUGGUACAGGGAGUGGCGAGCCUGUGAGGGUGAGCGAAUCUCGGAAAGCCGGUCUCAGUUCGGAUUGGGGUCUGCAACUCGACCUCAUGAAGUCGGAGUCGCUAGUAAUCGCAGAUCAGCAACGCUGCGGUGAAUAAGUUCCCGGG